rnacentral:sRNA from 1 species
AUUCUGCCCAAGCGGAGAAGGAUGAGAAGCUUCGACUAAGGUUCGACUCGAGCGCCAGCGAGAGAGCGUUGCCGCAGGCAACGACCUGAAGGGCG